rnacentral:rRNA from 1 species
GAUGAACGCUGGCGGCGUGCCUAAUACAUGCAAGUCGAGCGAACAGAUGAGGAGCUUGCUCCUCUGACGUUAGCGGCGGACGGGUGAGUAACACGUGGAUAACCUACCUAUAAGACUGGGAUAACUUCGGGAAACCGGAGCUAAUACCGGAUAAUAUAUUGAACCGCAUGGUUCAAUAGUGAAAGACGGCUUUGCUGUCACUUAUAGAUGGAUCCGCGCCGCAUUAGCUAGUUGGUAAGGUAACGGCUUACCAAGGCAACGAUGCGUAGCCGAGCUGAGAGGGUGAUAGGCCACACUGGAACUGAGACACGGUCCAGACUCCUACGGGAGGCAGCAGUAGGGAAUCUUCCGCAAUGGGCGAAAGCCUGACGGAGCAACGCCGCGUGAGUGAUGAAGGUCUUCGGAUCGUAAAGCUCUGUUAUUAGGGAAGAACAAAUGUGUAAGUAACUAUGCACGUCUUGACGGUACCUAAUCAGAAAGCCACGGCUAACUACGUG